GGAUUAUGGCAUAAUAAUUGGGACUAUGUUUAGGCGGUUCAGAAGACAAGAGUUCCUCGAGUCUUCGGAUCAUACCGCAAUACACUUCAAUCCGUUCCAUCACAACACCCACUAUUUUGGACCAAUUCAAAAAGCUUUGGUGGCGCGGAACAACCGUCAGUUUGCUGUUACAUUUCUUGAAG